AAUGAACGCUGGCGGCGCGCCUAAUACAUGCAAGUCGAGCGAGAAGACGUAGCAAUACGUUUGUAAAGCGGCGAACGGGUGAGGAAUACAUGGGUAACCUACCCUCGAGUGGGGAAUAACUAGCCGAAAGGUUAGCUAAUACCGCGUACGCUCCUUGGACUUCGGUUCAGGGAGGAAAGCGAUACCGUGGGUAUCGCGCUCUUGGUUGGGCUCAUGUCCUAUCAGCUUGUUGGUGAGGUAACGGCUCACCAAGGCUUCGACGGGUAGCUGGUCUGAGAGGACGAUCAGCCACACUGGCACUGCGACGCGGGCCAGACUCCUACGGGAGGCAGCAGUAAGGAAUAUUGCGCAAUGGGCGAAAGCCUGACGCAGCGACGCCGCGUGGGGGAUGAAGGUCUUCGGAUUGUAAACCCCUUUCGGGAGGGAAGAUGGAACGAGCAAUCGUUCGGACGGUACCUCCAGAAGCAGCCACGGCUAACUUCGUGCCAGCCGCCGCAGU
rnacentral:rRNA from 1 species